rnacentral:rRNA from 1 species
GCACAACGCGAAGAACCUUACCAGGCCUUGACAUGCAGAGAACUUUCCAGAGAUGGAUUGGUGCCUUCGGGAACUCUGACACAGGUGCUGCAUGGCUGUCGUCAGCUCGUGUUGUGAAAUGUUGGGUUAAGUCCCGCAACGAGCGCAACCCUUAUCCUUUGUUGCCAGCGGCUAGGCCGGGAACUCAAAGGAGACUGCCAGUGAUAAACUGGAGGAAGGUGGGGAUGACGUCAAGUCAUCAUGGCCCUUACGGCCUGGGCUACACACGUGCUACAAUGGUCGGUACAGAGGGUUGCCAAGCCGCGAGGUGGAGCUAAUCUCACAAAACCGAUCGUAGUCCGGAUCGCAGUCUGCAACUCGACUGCGUGAAGUCGGAAUCGCUAGUAAUCGUGGAUCAGAAUGUCACGGUGAAUACG